AGCAUGUGUCCCAGCCCUCUAGACUGCAGGAGCUCUGCAGUUCACACAUCAGAGCUCCUCUAACUGUGUUUCACAGGAUUUGUAUAGAGGAAGGGGCUUUGCAUACCUGUCCUGCCUCACUGCUCCACACACUUUAAGACCCCCAGCACUGAUCAGUGACUGUCCAGUCCUUUCACAGACACUGACACAGGCAGCAUUAUGAUGAUGUCAGUCUAUCUACUGCUGGUGAUGCUUGGACUCCUUGCACAGGGAUCACUGGCAGAUAUAGUCCUGACUCAGGAUCCAGCACCUCGGCCUUUUGAGCAGGGAGACACUGUCUCUAUCAGCUGUACAGCCAAUGAGGUUUUGAGCACCUACCUCCACUGGUACCUGCAGAAACCUGGUCAGGCUCCUAAACUUCUGAUUUAUGAUGACACAAAUCGCCAGACUGGGACUCCUGAUCGUUUUAGUG